AACGAACGCUGGCGGCAGGCCUAACACAUGCAAGUCGAGCGCUCUAGCAAUAGGGAGCGGCGCACGGGUGAGUAACGCGUAGGAAUCUACCUUGUAGUACGGAACAACAGUUGGAAACGACUGCUAAUACCGUAUACGCCCUUCGGGGGAAAGAAUUUCGCUAUAAGAUGAGCCUGCGUUAGAUUAGCUAGUUGGUGAGGUAAUGGCUCACCAAGGCUCCGAUCUAUAGCUGGUCUGAGAGGAUGAUCAGCCACACUGGGACUGAGACACGGCCCAGACUCCUACGGGAGGCAGCAGUGGGGAAUAUUGGGCAAUGGGCGCAAGCCUGACCCAGCCAUGCCGCGUGAGUGAUGACUGCCUUAGGGUUGUAAAGCUCUUUUAGUGGUGAGGAUGAUGACGGUAACCACAGAAAAAGCCCCGGCUAACUUCGUGCCAGCCGCCGCCGUAA
rnacentral:rRNA from 1 species